rnacentral:rRNA from 1 species
UACGAAGGGGCUAGCGUUGCUCGGAAUUACUGGGCGUAAAGCGCACGUAGGCGGUCUUUAAGUCGGGGUGAAAUCCUGGAGCUCAACUCCAGAACUGCCUUCGAUACUGGAAGACUUGAGUCCGGGAGAGGUGAGUGGAACUGCGAGUGUAGAGGUGAAAUUCGUAGAUAUUCGCAAGAACACCAGUGGCGAAGGCGGCUCACUGGCCCGGUACUGACGCUGAGGUGCGAAAGCGUGGGAGCA